GGGGCCCCUCCUUUUCUGUGCAGGAUUAGAGUUUUGACAGGGCAUUCUGCUCCCCUUAUCACCAGAUCCCUUCCCUUCUGAGACCAGGAGAACAAGGCAUGCUGUGGACUGUAGCCCUGCUUGUAGCUGUCCUGUCUCCUGGCAGUCAAACAUCUUCCAACUCAGAGAAGACCAUGACAGUGGUCACCAAGCCAACUGGGUCAUCUGUUACAGUCACUUGUAGUAUUCCUCAACAAAGUGGCUACAUCCAUUGGUACCGGUUCCAGGAGGGGAAGGCCCCACAGCGCCUUCUCUACUAUGACUUCUCCUGGUCCAGUUCUACAGUGGAUUCAGGAUUCAGUCCUGGGAAAUACCAUGCUUAUGAAGGCUCAGGAAGGAGCUGUAACUUUGUACUACAAAAUCUGGAAGAAAGUGACUCUGGAGUGUAUUACUGUGCUGUCUGGACUGGCACAGCGAUUCACAUCUGCCCUAAAGUAUACUGA